UGAGAGGGUUUCCUGAAGCAAACAUAUCUUAGCAACAGGACAUUUUUCGUGUACUUGUAACCGGUACGUUUUUAAUAAUUUAUCUAUCAACAUCUUAUCUGUCAAUAAAAGGCCAUUGACCAAUUAUGGUCCACCAAAAAAGGGUCCUGCAAAUAAAAUUUGGACAGUCCAUUAUCAAAUUCGCAAGAAGAAUCAACUUUCAAGAAUCAAAUCUGCACCCUUUUGGUUGCAAUCAUAAAACUUCUUUCCAUGUCAUUAAUCAAUGGUCCUUUUAACCCAUCAGCAGGAUAUAUCAAUAAAU
rnacentral:misc_RNA from 1 species